CACAACAGCCUUUCUUCUACUAAAUUCAAACUGUGCUCUUCAUUGUAAAGCAAGAAAGAUACAGGUUCAGACAUUAAAAGUUUACUGCCAUGAAAAGCUACAUAGUGUACUGUUUUCUCUGUGAUGGAAAAAAGCUCCACCACGUCAGACCACAGUAUAUCAGAGCACAAUGCAUGACUUGGUGGAGACACUGGUGAGUCACAGCACAAGGGAUUUGUCAGAACAGAAACUGCACAACAAAACUGUUCAAUUAGUCAAGAUGCACACAGAAAUCUGCAUAUUUUUCAUAGGAAUAAACAUUAUUGAAUCUUCAGUAGAGAUAGGGAAAUAGUGAAAACAUUUCUGGCAGUAUUCAGAUGACAUUUUGAAUGAAUGCUCUGGUUAUGUCACACUGGGGUGGGUUUUUUUCUGUCACCAAGAUUUCUGUCACAAACAGACAAUGAAAGUGAAGUUCAAAUCACAAUGGUUUUUCCCUAAGUGAGCCAAAGUAUUUGGCACAUAUGAAUAUUGAGCUAAGACAUUGCACAGUUUUUCAAGUGUUGCAAGAAAACUGUAUUCUCUAAGCACUCAAGAGACUCUCAGCUGUAAAUAAGCACAAUAAAUGAGCAGGGUAAGAGAUGUACAAGUUUAUUUAUAAAUAGUUUAGAUACUACUAAACUGAAAGCAUUAUCUAUGCAAAUCAAGGAGCUGAAGUAAUUAAGCAGAAUCCCUUUGUAAAGUUGUAUAUGUUCAUUAUGAAGAAGGAAGCAACUGGUUGUGUCAUUGUUGCCAUUUUUCCUGAUUCCAGAAUCUUACAGAAAAAUAUCAGACUAACUGAGCUAUUUUAGAUGUUCUUUUAUGCUAGGUUUGCAAUAGACUUUCAAAAAGUCAAAAGCUUAUUUGAACAAAUUUGGAUUUCUUCACAUUCCAUGUUCCAGAAGUGAAUACCUAGCCAAUCUGCAAUGAAGAAUUUACAGAGAUAUUUAGCUUAGAACUUAGUGGUGAUCUUUUUAAAUAACAGCUAUAUUAAUAGUUGCAGCUCAACAAAACUUUUAUAAUGGCAUUCUCAACCUUAUUAUGAAAGUGGUUCUCUCAGAUAAAACUGAUGUGAUUCACCCCAGACUGAUACAGGAUCAUCAGCUGCCCCAUAUCAUCUCAUUUUUGAACGAAGAUUCUCCAGCAAGAUCUCAUUACUUAGCAUUUACAUCACUGACCUCUUUGUAUAUUCCCAAAUCCAAGAUUUUGAGUCUUCAGAGUAUCAUAGCAACAAAGCUUUCCUACCUCCUCCUUCUCGCACAUCUACUGAGAUUUAACCUCUCUUCCUAUCUUUUUAAACAGUUACUACAAAACUAAAAUAUAAAAGCUUUCUUCUACAUCCAUUCUAACAAGUGGAUACAUAAAAACACCUGCAUUAUUUUUCCUGGCUUAUUGAUAACUUGUUUCUAGGGAAAAUUUUGGACAUCUGGAAGUAUUUUUUUGUUAUAAGAGAACAGUGGAGUGACAUUAAACAAUGUGAAACAGAAAGUAUGAACAGAAUAUCCCCAUAGUAAUCUUCAUAUUUUUUGAGCAGCAAAAUAACUCGGUCUUUACAUUUUUAUUUGUUGACAUGUAGACCUGUACUAAAAGAAUAAAUAAGGGAAACCAGAAUUAAAUUGACAUGCAGCCUUCACCAUUCUGAAUCUUUACCUGUCCAUCUCUUUCUCUAUUUAAGCUGUUUUAGAUUUAAAGAAUUUGAGGAGAGUAUUUUUGUCUUUCUAUGCAUUUGCAGCAAACAGGAAGCAGAAACAUAAAUCUUUGUAUGGUUCUGUGGAUACUGUCUCAAAAGAAUCAAUAAUGCUGACAUUUUAUUUGAAGAUUUCUACAAACAAAAUCUGGUUUUCAGCAAUACUGUCUUACAUUCAUUAUUAUGUAGCCUACUUUCUUCCACAAAUCUGUUUCCUAUCACAUUAAUGGAACACGAUAUAUUAUUUGAAAAAGUAAAAAGUUAAACUGUAAAAACCUAAUAGAAAUCUCUUUUCUCAGUCCAAAAGUCUUCCAGUGCAUGUCACAAUUCAAAAAGGGGCAAAUAUAAAUCUGGAUAAUUUGUCUGAAGCCUCAUGAACAAGAGACUAAACAACCUCAGUGUCAAGUCUAACCUGUAUUAUUCUUGCUUUAAAAAAUAUAGACAGUGAGAUAAAUGGACCGUAAAUAAUGUUUGCUUUGGACUUUUAUUUUCUUGAAAAUUGCAGUAAAAAAUAUUUCAUUUUCUAGUCCUUCUAAUACUGGCCAAAUAAACAAGAGGCUGAAUUAACAGAAUGGGAACAGAGUCCUUUAUGGCAUUCAUCAGUCCUUUAUGACAUUGACAGCUGUGAAAUGUUAACCCCACAUGUGGAUACCGGAGCCCAAGUCCAGUAUUUUUUAACCAACAAAUGAAUAAAUUUCUGGAUGGGUCUUUCUCAGUCUUGUUUAACAUUUAAAGGGAUAUCAGAAAUUGGAACACACAUGUUUUUUACAUGCCUUGAAAUGGUUCUGAAAAUUAAGGUGGAAGACUGAGCUGGGUCACCUCGGUGAUGAAGGAGGUCCCUUGGAAUGGAUCAACUAUAUAUAUAAAGACCACCUCCCCUGUGGGAAUUUGGAGAGGUCUGGGAAGUGUUUGAUCCCUCAUGCUGGAAUAAUCCCACUCAUGGUAGUUAAGAUACAAUAGAAGCUAUGCCUGAAAUCCUGCAUCAUUCCAGUACUUGGGUAAGACAGAGGUAACACUUCCAUGCUCUGCAAUUUUAGAACCUAAGAUCUGUUCUUGAAGGUACAGGCAACUAUGUGAAAUACCAAGCAGUAUUAAACUUAGUUCUACAUUUACAAAUUCCAUUUCAUCUCUUAUUCUUUGGGCUUCUAGGUAUUCUUUCUAUGCAAUAAUCUGACAGAAGUGGUUCUUCCCUUUGUGAUUCUUGUCACCUGAAGUAUCUGAUUUCUUCCACCAGUUUUGCAAACAGAAAUUUGCCUUUUCAAGUAUGCCUAAAUACACAUGAGGAAAGACAAACACAAAAUUUAAAUUUUAAUUCUGUGUGGGUUUACUAUACCUCUCAUUAAAGUAGUUUCAAGAUUUAUUUAUUUAU